CGGUUGAUCCUGCCGGGCCCCACUGCUAUCGGGAUAGGACUAAGACAUGCUAGUCAAGCGCCCGCCCGCUAAAGGUGGGUCGCGGCGCACAGCUCAGUAACACGUGGCUAACUUGCCCUUGGGACGGGGAUACCCCCGGGAAACUGGGGUUAAUCCCCGAUAGGUGAAGAGCUCUGGAAUGACUCUUCACCCAAAAGACGCUUACGCUAUGCUCGUAAGCGUCGCCCAAGGAUAGGGCCGCGUCCGAUCAGGUUGUUGGUGAGGUAAUGGCUCACCAAGCCUUUUACCGGUGCGGGCCGUGGGAGCGGGAGCCCGGAGAUGGGCACUGAGACAAGGGCCCAGGCCCUACGGGGCGCAGCAGUCGCGAAAACUCUGCAAUACACGAAAGUGUGACAGGGCUAUCCCGAGUGCCAUCCGCUGAGGAAGGCUUUUACCCAGUUUAGAACGCUGGGGGAAUAAGAAGAGGGCAAGACUGGUGUCAGCCGCCGCGGUAAUACCAGCUCUUCGAGUGGUGUGGAUGUUUAUUGGGCCUAAAGCAUCCGUAGCUGGCUGAGCAAGUCCCCUGUUAAAUCCACCGAUUUAAUCGUUGGAGUGCGGGGGAUACUGCUCAGCUAGGGGACGGGAGAGGCAGACGGUAUUUCCGGGGUAGGGGUGAAAUCCUAUAAUCCCGGAAAGACCACCAGUGGCGAAGGCUGUCUGCUAGAACGCGCCCGACGGUGAGGGAUGAAAGCUGGGGGAGCGAACCGGAUUAGAUACCCGGGUAGUCCCAGCUGUAAACGAUGCAGGCUAGGUGUUUGGACGGCCACGUGCCGUUCUAGUGCCGCAGGGAAGCCGUUAAGCCUGCCGCCUGGGGAGUACGGCCGCAAGGCUGAAACUUAAAGGAAUUGGCGGGGGAGCAC
rnacentral:rRNA from 1 species